rnacentral:rRNA from 1 species
UACGGAGGAUGCAAGCGUUAUCCGGAUUCAUUGGGUUUAAAGGGUGCGCAGGCGGGAGAUUAAGUCGGUGGUGAAAUUUUGCAGCUCAACUGUAAAAGUGCCAUUGAUACUGGUUUUCUUGAGUGUGGAUGAAGUAGGCGGAAUUUGUGGUGUAGCGGUGAAAUGCAUAGAUAUCACGAGGAACUCCGAUUGCGCAGGCAGCUUACUAAACCAUAACUGACGCUCAGGCACGAAGGCGUGGGGAUCAAACAGGAUUA